UCUGCUGGCCGUCUUUAGCUUUGCAGCAGACUGGGAGGGUUCACGUUCUAGCCGGGGACAGGCUGUCUCCACACUGUGUUGUGAGUCGAAGCAAGCGCAGCGCAGCGCAGCGCUGAGAUCUGUAUGGGUGGAGAGCCUGCCUGUCUGUUUUAAGACCUCCUAGGGAUUUACCCACGGGCUGCGGCGAUGAAGCCACAGUGUCCCAGUCCUCUGGAAGUUCUGAGGUUUGGACCCUGUGUCAGUGAAGGUGUCAGCUGUCCUCUGCCACAAGCUCCCAUCACUAUGGUACUCUACCCAGUCUGCAUACAACCAAGUAAUCAUGGACCUGACCUCUGAAACCUGGAGCCAAACCAUGCCUGUCCUCUGGUUGUCUCUGUGAGGUAUUGUGGACACAGCUAUACAAAGGGUCUUUCCAUGUCAUCUAGGCUGGUCUUUAAUCAUGGGAUGAAAUGUAUCUCCUGCCAUAAGCUCCUGAGUACUAAGACUACAGACCUACUGUGUGAAUAUCCUCAGAGUGUGAAGAUGGCUCCCAGUGAGUAUCCAGCCUCACUCGCUCCCUUCCUUGACACAAGGGGACUUUGAGAACCAGUAAAGCUCAUCUUUUUAAGUACCUUUACCCGCCUUUGCCACAAAAUCACCUCUCAUUGUCACAGAGACUGCUGUGGAAUAAUCCUUUUGUACACUGUGUGAAUAUAUGUCACUAU